rnacentral:rRNA from 1 species
AUUGAACGCUGGCGGCAGGCCUAACACAUGCAUGUCGAACGAGUGGCGGACGGGUGAGUAAUGUCUGUGAAACUGCCUGAUGGAGGGGGAUAACUACUGGAAACGGUAGCUAAUACCGCAUACCAUCAGAUGUGCCCAUAUGGGCUUAGCUAGUGGGUGGGGUAACGGCUCACCAGGGCGACGAUCCCUAGCUGGUCUGAGAGGAUGACCAGCCAAACUGGAAAUGAGACACGGUCAAUACUCCUACGGGAGGCCGCAGUGGGGAAUAUUGCACAAGGGGCGAAAGCCUGAUGCAGCCAUGCCGCGUGUAUGAAGAAGGCCUGCGGGUUGUAAAGUACUUUCAGCGGGGAGGCGUUACCCGCAGAAGAAGCACCGGCUAACUCCGUGCCAGCCGCCGCGGUAAUAC